rnacentral:rRNA from 1 species
UUGCCAUUAUCAUAAGCGGAGGAAAAGAAACCAACCGGGAUUGCCUUAGUAACGGCGAGUGAAGCGGCAAAAGCUCAAAUUUGAAAUCUGGUACCUUUGGUGCCCGAGUUGUAAUUUGGAGAGGGCAACUUUGGGACCGUUCCUUGUCUAUGUUCCUUGGAACAGGACGUCAUAGAGGGUGAGAAUCCCGUGUGGCGAGGAGUGCGGUUCUAUGUAAAGUGCCUUCGAAGAGUCGAGUUGUUUGGGAAUGCAGCUCUAAGUGGGUGGUAAAUUCCAUCUAAAGCUAAAUAUUGGCGAGAGACCGAUAGCGAACAAGUACAGUGAUGGAAAGAUGAAAAGAACUUUGAAAAGAGAGUGAAAAAGUACGUGAAAUUGUUGAAAGGGAAGGGCAUUUGAUCAGACAUGGUGUUUUGCGCCCUCUGCUCCUUGUGGGUGGGGGAAUCUCGCAGUUCACUGGGCCAGCAUCAGUUUUGGUGGCAGGAUAAAUCCGUAGGAAUGUAACUUGCUUCGGGAAGUAUUAUAGCCUAUGGGAAUACUGCCAGCUGGGACUGAGGACUGCGACGUAAGUCAAGGAUGCUGGCAUAAUGGUUAUAUGCCGCCCGUCUUGAACCGGCA